ACGCUCGACACCUACGGGGGCAGCAGUGGGGAAUAUUGCACAAUGGGGGAAACCCUGAUGCAGCGACGCCGCGUGGAGGAAGAAGGUCUUCGGAUUGUAAACUCCUGUUGUUGGGGAAAAAGAGGAUGGUACCCAACAAGGAAGUGACGGCUAACUAUGUGCCAGCAGCCGCGGUAAUCUGAGCGGGCUGGCAAGGC
rnacentral:rRNA from 1 species